rnacentral:misc_RNA from 1 species
GAAAUGCGAUAUGUAGUGUGAAUUGCAGAAUUCCGUGAAUCAUCGAAUCUUUGAACGCAAACUGCGCUUGUUCCCUCGUGGAACGAGCACGUCUGUUUGAGGGUCAGUAAAACCAUCUCACCAGACCAUAUCUGGUGGACAUGAGAGUCGCGCCGACGAGGUGCGUCUCUUGAAAUGGAUGGCGGUGCCCGCCUCGUGCUUCCAGCAGCCUCCGUUGUACUUCGGCUGCUCACAUCGCCUUUCCUCCUUCGGUGAGAUAGCUGCCUUGUGCAGAACACUUCGCCGUCGGUCGGGAUCGGAGAUUGAGCAUGCUAUCCGCGUGAUGGCCAGCUUGGAUGGCACUUGAGGCCUCGUGCUGGUGCCCUACAAAAAAAGAAACUGAAUCUUCUCAUGCUUUGACCUCAAAUCAGGCGAGACUACCCGCUGAACUUAA